rnacentral:lncRNA from 10 species
GGAAAUCUCCCAGUAGGGUUUCAGUUAUGGGCCCAGUGAGACAUGAACAAACAAUCCCUUAGGAUUUCUAAUGCAAAAGAACAAAUAUAAAAAUAGAAGGCUGCCUUUCAUGUAGUCAGUACCAAGUUCUCCAACCAGAUUCUACACAGCAACUGGAGGACAGGGCCUCAGAUCAAGGAAGAAGUGGGAUUGGUUUGGAGGGAUCCUAUCUGGACUCAAGGAAAGUGACAAUACAAAUUAUGGGAUGGAUCUACAUCCUCGAGGUGUUAUUUAUCUGCUCAUAAAUGCUGAUAGUCAAGAACAAAAUGAACGAGUCACAAGAUAUUGAAAACAAAAAUCCUUAGGAGCAGCUGAUCCUGGUGGGCCAGGAAGCUCAGAAUCAAAAUGGAUGCUCAGUUGGAACAUCCGCACUAGCCUGCCACAUUAGCACGUUUGCUACCACCUCUUUCUGCAGAUCCCAUUUGCAAUUUCUGGGUUUACACCAUCAGACUGAUUUUCUAUGUAAUCUUCGUUAUAAGCCUCUUCAGAUGUUUUUAAAAUGAAAUGAGGAAUACAUUAAUGAAUAAUCAAAUGAUUAUUUUCAUUGAGUUGGAAAGUCAUUUCACGUUUCAGAAUGGCUGUUAGUGACAGUUGACUUCUACCUAAAUGUAACUCAAUAUUACACAUUCUCAUCCUAUAAUAUGUAACUCAUACCUAAAAAAAAUAAUCAGUGGGCUCCAGAAUGCGCAGAAAAAUAUAUUCAGGAUUUUGCUUUUCCCCCCAGUACUGUCUAAGGUGGUUGUUUAGGUCUAGUGAGCCACCGAAAUUAAUUAUACCCGAAG